GCCGAUGGACGGGUGCUUCGAGAUGCCAUUAGUAGAAGACAUGGACUAAAAGUUCCUCAUGGUUGUUAUUAUCUAGUUGAUGUUGGAUACACAAAUUGCGAGGGAUUUCUUGCACCAUUUAGAGGACAGCGAUAUCAUCUGAACGAGUGGCGUCAGGGUUAUCAGCCAAGUUCUCCGCAAGAGUUUUUUAAUAUGAAACAUGCCUCAUCACGUAAUUUCAUUGAAAGAUGCUUUGGCUUAUUAAAACUUAGAUGGGGAAUACUUAGGAGUCCAUCGUUUUAUCCUGUAAGGGUGCACAAUAGAAUUAUUAUUGCAUGUUGUUUGCUCCAUAAUUUUAUUCGAACCCAUAUGAGUAUUGAUCCCAUUGAAGCGGAGGUGGGAGACGGAUUACCUACUAAUGUGGUGGAUGCCGAUGAACCGAAUAUCACAAAUAUUCAUCCAUCGGAUGCUUGGGCUAGUUGGAGGAUGGACCUAGCCAACCAAAUGUUCGAUGAAUGGCAAGCAUCUAGAAAUUAGUUAGGUUUAGGGACAAAUUGAGUUUGAAUUGAUUUGUUGAUGUUAUUUUAUGUAUCUAGUUUAUUAAACUUUGGUGGUCUUUGAUUAAAAUUCUGUAUUGUACUAAACUUUGUUGAAUUAUAAUUUAAUUAUCUUUUCAUUCAAA